UGGUGAAUCAUAAUAACUUAACGAAUCGCAUGGCCUUGCGCCGGCGAUGGUUCAUUCAAAUUUCUGCCCUAUCAACUUUCGAUGGUAGGAUAGUGGCCUACCAUGGUGGCAACGGGUAACGGGGAAUUAGGGUUCGAUUCCGGAGAGGGAGCCUGAGAAACGGCUACCACAUCCAAGGAAGGCAGCAGGCGCGCAAAUUACCCAAUCCCGACACGGGGAGGUAGUGACAAUAAAUACUGAUACGGGGCUCUUUUGGGUCUCGUAAUUGGAAUGAGUACAAUCUAAAUCCCUUAACGAGGAACAAUUGGAGGGCAAGUCUGGUGCCAGCAGCCAGGGAUAUAUUAUUCUUGUCUCUUAAAUACGAGCCACCCCAUUUUACUUUUUUUAGCAAUCUAUACUCAGAAUAUUAAAUCUAAUACAACGAAAGAAAGGAGAAUGUUGCCAGAUAGACUAAGAGAGCUAUCAGUAACAGAAGGAAACAUACUUAAUCACAAAUUUACACACUACCAGUAGUAUCAUUAUAAUGCCACGAUAGGCGAGCACAAAUAUGUCAAAAGCUCGAAACAUAAGUCGCAGUAAGGCAACCUAACAUCCGCUUGAAC
rnacentral:rRNA from 1 species